rnacentral:rRNA from 14 species
UUGCCCUAGUAACGGCGAGUGAAGCGGCAACAGCUCAAAUUUGAAAGCUAGCCUUCGGGUUCGCAUUGUAAUUUGUAGAGGAUGAUUUGGGGAAGCCGCCUGUCUAAGUUCCUUGGAACAGGACGUCAUAGAGGGUGAGAAUCCCGUAUGGGAUGGGGUGUCCGCGCCCGUGUGAAGCUCCUUCGACGAGUCGAGUUGUUUGGGAAUGCAGCUCAAAAUGGGAGGUAAAUUUCUUCUAAAGCUAAAUACUGGCCAGAGACCGAUAGCGCACAAGUAGAGUGAUCGAAAGAUGAAAAGCACUUUGGAAAGAGAGUUAAACAGUACGUGAAAUUGUUGAAAGGGAAGCGCUUGCAAUCAGACUUGUUUAAACUGUUCGGCCGGUCUUCUGACCGGUUUACUCAGUUUGGACAGGCCAGCAUCAGUUUCGGCGGCCGGAUAAAGGCUCUGGGAAUGUGGCCUCCACUUCGGUGGAGGUGUUAUAGCCCAGGGUGUAAUACGGCCAGCCGGGACUGAGGUCCGCGCUUCGGCUAGGAUGCUGGCGUAAUGGUUGUAAGCGACCCGUCUUGGAACACGGACCAAGGAGUCUAACAUCUAUGCGAG